rnacentral:lncRNA from 1 species
GACAGACAAUCCAAAUCAAGAUAAAUCUAUGAAACGACCAGACCUUAUCUAAUAACUUACUGCCCUUCCUCAAUUUCCAGGUACUAGCUUUCUCACAGGGAGCUCAUUUCCAACCAACCCUGUAAUCAAUAUGCGAACAAGAAAACACAUGCACCGAAUCUAGAAACAAUCGAUCAAACCACAAAAUGGUAAUCAAUAUGCGAACAAGAAAACACAUGCACCGAAUCUAGAAACAAUCAAUCAAACCACAAAAUGGUAAACCACAAACCAGGCAAUUUAAUUUCCUCGAGAAAAUUUCCUCGUCACAUGGACAAAAGGAGAAUCUGCAUGCAGAGGAAGGCACAAAUGACGCCAAAUCAAAUAU